rnacentral:rRNA from 1 species
UACGUAGGGUGCAAGCGUUAAUCGGAAUUACUGGGCGUAAAGCGUGCGCAGGCGGUUCGGAAAGAAAGAUGUGAAAUCCCAGAGCUUAACUUCGGAACUGCAUUUUUAACUACCGAGCUAGAGUGUGUCAGAGGGAGGUGGAAUUCCGCGUGUAGCAGUGAAAUGCGUAGAUAUGCGGAGGAACACCGAUGGCGAAGGCAGCCUCCUGGGAUAACACUGACGCUCAUGCACGAAAGCGUGGGGGAGCAAACAGGGUUAGAUACCCUGGUAGUCCACGCCCUAAACGAUGUCAACUAGCUGUUGGGGCCUUCGGGCCUUGGUAGCGCAGCUAACGCGUGAAGUCGACCGCCUGGGGAGUACGGUCGCAAGAUUAAAACUCAA